AGGAUUAAAUUAAUGGGGGUAAAUUUAAUAAAAUAAAUUUUAAAUGAAUAUUUUAAUGGGGGUUAAAGUAUUUUUAUAGAAAAAAUUUAUAAGUUUAUAGUUAAAUAGUAUUGUAAAAUAAAUUUUAAAUAAUUUUAAAAUUUAUUAUUGAAAAAGUAAUUUUAGGUUAAUGUAUCUUGGGUAUCAGAGUUUAUUGAGUUAUUAUUUCUAGAAAUAUGACAAUAAAAUUAUGGGGGAAAAUUCUCGAAUUAAAAAGAGUUAAAUAAUUAUUUAAAUUUAUUGUAUUAAAAAUAUUUUUAAUAAUUAUUUUGAAAUGAAAAGUUAUUCGUUUUUUAAGAUAUCUAGUUUUUUUAGAAAAAAAUUUAAUUUUAAAUUAAAAUUUUUUAAAAUUAAUUAAUUAAUUUUAAAAAGAAAUUUAAUUUUAUAUUUUAUGGGAUAAGCUUUAAAGUAAAUAUUUAAAAUAAUUUAAUAAAAAAAAAUUAAAAAUUUUAUAAUUUAUAUUGUUAAUAAAAUUUAAUUUAUUAUAAAUAAUUUUUAUAUAAAAAAAAUUUAUUAUAAUAUUUAAAUUUUUAUAAAAAAAUUUAUUUUAAUUUUUAAAAUUUAAUUAUAAUGAUAAAAUUAGUAUAUUUAUUUAAUAAUAUUAUCAUUUAAAGUAAAAAUAAUUUUAAGGAAUUCGGCAAAAAUUUAUAUUCGCCUGUUUAUCAAAAACAUGUCUUUUAGAUUAUAAUUUAAAGUCUAAUCUGCCCACUGAUUAAAUAUUAAAGGGCUGCAGUAUUUUGACUGUACAAAGGUAGCAUAAUAAUUAGUCUUUUAAAUGAAGACUGGAAUGAAUGAUUGGACGAGAUAUAAACUGUCUCAAUAUUAAAAAUUGAAUUUAAUUUUUUUAUUAAAAAGUUAAAAUUUGAUUAAAAGACGAGAAGACCCUAUAGAGUUUAAUAUUAGUAUUAAUUAAGAUUAAUUUAUAUAUUUUAAGUUAAAAUUAAUAUUUUUAUUUUGUUGGGGUGAUAAUAAAAUUUAAAAAACUUUUAUUUUUGAUAAACAUAAAUAAAUGAAUUUAUUGAUCCAAAAUUUUUGAUUAUAAGAAAAAAUUACCUUAGGGAUAACAGCGUAAUUUUUUUUUUUAGUUCAAAUAAGAAAAAAAGUUUGCGACCUCGAUGUUGGAUUAAGAUAUAAUUUAAAUGCAAAAGUUUAAAAUUUUGAUCUGUUCGAUCAUUAAAAUCUUACAUGAUCUGAGUUCAAACCGGUGUGAGCCAGGUUGGUUUCUAUCUUUAAUAAAUUUAAAUAUUUUAGUACGAAAGGAUUGAAUAUUUGAAAUAAUUUUAUUAAUUUGAAUAUUAUUAAAUAAAAUAAUUAAA
rnacentral:rRNA from 1 species